rnacentral:rRNA from 1 species
GACGAACGCUGGCGGCGUGCCUAGUACAUGCAAGUAGAACGCUGAAGAGAGGAGCUUGCUCUUCUUGGAUGAGUUGCGAACGGGUGAGUAACGCGUAGGUAACCUGCCUUGUAGCGGGGGAUAACUAUUGGAAACGAUAGCUAAUACCGCAUAACAAUGGAUGACACAUGUCAUUUAUUUGAAAGGGGCAAUUGCUCCACUACAAGAUGGACCUGCGUUGUAUUAGCUAGUAGGUGAGGUAAUGGCUCACCUAGGCGACGAUACAUAGCCGACCUGAGAGGGUGAUCGGCCACACUGGGACUGAGACACGGCCCAGACUCCUACGGGAGGCAGCAGUAGGGAAUCUUCGGCAAUGGGGGCAACCCUGACCGAGCAACGCCGCGUGAGUGAAGAAGGUUUUCGGAUCGUAAAGCUCUGUUGUAAGUCAAGAACGGGUGUGAGAGUGGAAAGUUCACACUGUGACGGUAGCUUACCAGAAAGGGACGGCUAACUACGUG